UUAGGCCUCUGCCACCAUCAGAUCCCGUAUCCUCCACCGCUCAUUGGCAUAUCUGGCUGAAUUCCAAUGAACCAGAAAAUUGUAUUUCCUAACAGCUUUGAAGUCGUGGAAGCCUUGGUUGCAGAGGGACCGUGAUAUUAUUUGAGAUAGUUGUGGAUAUAGUGCCACCACCACUGUUGAGCCAGCUUUCUGCCAACGUCCGGUUUCCUGCCACCUUCUUACCACCAAGAUUGCAAAGAGAAACCCCUUAAGGCAGAGAGAGCCUACCACCACACUCUCCUUCUCUUGGCUCUCCCCCCCUCCCCAAAACAAUUCUAGAUGUUACUUAAGCUGGUUAUAGUCCUAAGGUAUGCAAAAAGAUCAUCAAUGGCUUGGAUGCUCACAACAUUAGACCCAUAAGACUUUUAAGAGA